rnacentral:misc_RNA from 1 species
CGCGCAAUCUGUCCGUUAAUGUUGUUGUGAUACGAUCGGAAGAAACCAAAAGAAAACCAAACCUAUGGUUUCUGAGCUUUGUCCCCUUGAUUUUUCGAGUUUGAAGAGGGACUUGCUCUCUGCAUACGUUUGCUCUAAGCAUGGCCACUGUUCUGUCAUCCAACCUUCUAACCAUACACUCUUCCCAAAUUAGUCCGUUUUCUAAAUCUCAAUCUCUCACUACAAUCCCCUGUUCCUCUGUUCGUUCGCUAGCCGCGGGUCCUAAAUCAUCCCCUCAAAAGAGCGCUGUCAUCACUUCGCUUGAGAAUUCGCCUACGGAACCUAAACCAAAACCAUCAAUUUCUCGUAAUCUGGUUGAUUCUCCCGAGCCAAGCCCGCCUUCCUCUCCAUCUUUAUCAAAUUCGUUCUCUGGUCUUAUCGGCCGUUUAAGAAAUGGGUUUAAGGUUGAUAAGCUCGGUUUAGAAAUUUUGUCAAUUGCGUUGCCUGCUGCCUUGUCUCUCGCUGCUGAACCCAUUGCCUCACUCGUCGAUACAGCUUUUGUCGGUCAUAUAGGACCGGUUGAAUUGGCGGCAGUUGGGGUAUCCGCUUCUGUAUUCAAUCUGGUUUCGAAGUUGUUUAAUGUUCCAUUACUCAACGUCACAACAUCAUUUGUUGCUGAAGAGCAGGCAUUGAUUAGUAAAGAGAAAGCUAAUAAUGGUUCUGGUGGAAUUCAUGAUGAUUGUGUGCAUCAGCCCCAAGGCAAGACAUACUUUCCAGCUGUGUCUACUUCUUUAGCACUUGCUUCUGGUGUUGGCAUUGUUGAAGCUGUCGCACUCUUUCUUGGGUCGGGAUUCUUAAUGAAUAUCAUGGGUAUACCUGUUGAUUCACCAAUGCGAGUACCAGCUGAGAAUUUUCUUACUUGGAGAGCAUUUGGUGCUCCACCCAUUGUACUUGCACUUGCUGCACAAGGCACUUUUCGUGGAUUUAAGGAUACAAAGACACCUCUAUAUGCCAUUGGAUCGUUGACUAAAUGGGCAAGAACUUGUGUGCAUGGAGUCUACUAUGCUGGAAUAGAAUCUGGUCAUGUCAAAUAUUCUACAAAAUAGGACUUUAAGUCAAUAGUAGGGAAUAGGUGGUUCUCCCCAUAUUUGUUUAUUGUGAAACACUGCAACAAGUUAUUGUAUAUGGUUAAAAUAUGCACAGUUAAUAUUCGUGUAUCCAUAUUUACGUGGAAGAGAACUUUUUUCCUUUUUAUCUUGCAGCUAUAAUUUCACCAACAAGAUUAAUAACAUCAUCAUAUAUGUUCUGAGAAUUCAUUUCGUGCUUGAAAUGAAAAGGUCCAACUGUAGACUUUAUUAUUCUAUUGCUGACCAUGCAUACGUAAAUUGAUAAUGUUGUUACCUUGAUAAUCAGGUGCUGGCAACUUACUUAAUGCAGUAUUGGGUCCAAUAUUGAUUUUUGUGUUUGGUUUUGGCAUUGGUGGUGCGGCAAUUUCUACUGUGAUUUCUGAAUAUCUUAUUGCUUUUAUCCUUCUGUGGGAGUUGAAUGGCAAAGUGUCUUUGAUCUCUCCAAAUAUUGAUGGAAGAAGAGUUGUCCGCUAUCUAAAUUCUGGUGGUCUCCUUAUUGGCAGAACCAUAGCUGUGCUUUUAACAACGACACUAGCCACAUCCAUGGCUGCUAGGGAGGGCCCCACACCAAUGGCUGGUCAUCAAAUAUGCAUGCAAGUUUGGUUGGCUGUAUCUUUGCUCAAUGAUGCUUUAGCUCUAGCUGGUCAGGCUCUUCUGGCUGGUGGUUACUCCCAAGGAAAUUAUGAACAAGCACGUCAAGUGACAUACAGAGUUUUAGAGAUUGGUUUAAUAACAGGAAUUGGUUUGGGGACAAUAUUAUCCCUUGGAUUUGGAGCAUUUUCUAGCUUGUUCAGUACAGAUUCAGAAGUUCUGGAGAUUGCCUGGUCUGGUAUUCUGUUUGUUGCUGGGUCUCAACCAAUGAAUGCUCUUGCAUUUGUUCUUGAUGGGCUUUACUAUGGCGUUUCAGACUUCAGAUAUGCUGCCUACUCUAUGAUACUAGUAGGGCUUAUCUCUUCUGUGUUCAUACUUGCGGCUGCACCUGUAUUUGGUCUUGCUGGAGUCUGGACAGGGUUGUUUCUCUUCAUGACCUUGAGGGUGGUGGCUGGAAUGUGGAGGUUGGGCACAAAAACUGGGCCAUGGAAACUGGUUUGGGCGGAAAUGGAGCAGGAAAGAGAUCUAAGCGAGUGAUAUACUCGUAUAUGCUGGUAUGGUAUGCUCAUAACUCAAUGAAGGCAAGGUCCCAAGACAUGGCAUGAUGGAGUGCUCAACAUAUUAAAGCCAAUUGAGUAACCUUCAUUACCUCUUCAUUCAGAUCAUCCUCGUGUAAAUCAAAAUUUGAUCUUGUUAUUGAGACUGGCAGGAUUCAUUGGUGAGUGGCGUUUGUUAUGCAACUAACAACUCACUGCAUUUAGAACAUAGUUGAUUUUAGAGAGGAAGCUAGAAUGAAUUGGAUAUCAAAAAUUGUGUCAAGGACUUCUGGAGCCAAGUGCUUUUUGUUCAAGGCUUUUCCAACAACUUUACCUCAUCAGGGCUAGAUGUAUAUAUAAUUCAUGUUAUUUCCUGGUUGUUAUAAGGUGUAAAUUACUGUAUAAUGCAUAUAUAAGCUUGAGAAUAUAUCCCGAAUUAUUAUUAUUAUUAUUAGUUAGGUAAGUCUCAUUUACAUAAGAAGAAUUAAUACCAGGUCAAGGAACAAACAGCAACUCAAAGGCAACAAUGUCUGCCUCUUUAAGUAGGCUACAAGAUUGUUGUGUUCUCGUUCUUCCUAUCUGUUUCUCUAAAUCGUUCCUUAGGCAGAUAUUUUUUUUAAAUAAUAUUAAUAAAGCAGAAAACAGAUAAAAAUAGGCAGCAAAUGGUGCUUCUCACAAGCAGAUAACAUCCUUCCUCUUUAGAUAAAAAAAAAUUAAGAAAAUUCUUGAACUCAAUUCAACUUGACUAAGUCACAAUCCCAUGUAUGCAUCUUCAUUUGAUUACAACUUACUUUUGAACAACAGGAUGUAGGUCUUCUUCUGCAUUUAGCUGACCCAAUUAGUUUGGGAUUAAGGCAUAGUUG